CCUCCCUCCCUCCCUCCUGGCAGUCGCCGGCAAUACCCUAGAUCUCCCUCCUACUAAAACUCUCAAGAAAGUGCGAGAGGAUGGCGGAGCCCUCCAAGAUAAUCCACAUCCGAAACGUCGGGCACGAGAUUGCUGAGCCAGGUCUGCUUCAACCGUUCGGGGUGGACUCCAAAAUCGCCAUGCUGUGUGCCAAGAACCAGGUGAAUUCUUUCGCUCGCUUGAAUAUAAGAAAGCAAACAUUGUAUGUGUACCUUGUCUCUGAACGCCUCAAAAGUCCCAUAGCAAGCACUUGUGCAGAAAAAAGGAAAUCAUGCCGAUUAUUAACUUGAUAUUCAUAUCCUAGGAAGCUUGUGGGGUCAAUAGUCGUCUUGUAUGAUGUCAUAUUGUUGACGUAAUAGAUAAGGGAUGCUCAACCGGACGAGCCCCACACUACUAAGUGCCAGCUGAUAGUAGAUAUUUUCAAGACCACAUGACUCACCGCGCGACCAGAGCGAUUGCAGGGCAGGUAUUCACCUAACCUGUCAAAACGUAUUUAAUGUCAUCCACUCAAGUAUUUUCUUUCCUCAGGCACUCCCUUUCGAUGAGCAAGGUCGUGAGCAUGCGUGGUGGAGCAGUGACCUGUCCCGUAGUAUUUAACGCUACGGUAUGGCCUGGCCAGUGAACGUGACGACGUUCGGUGAUAUGACUGGACGUGCAGGACGACCAGAACGGGGCAAGCUUGUCUAUGCGAUGUCAUGAUGGGCUACGGGUAGUUGGCUUCGUCAAGGAUAGGUCUGCCACGGAGUUUGGCAUGGUUCGUUUGAUUGUACACCCUUUCUCCGGGUGUAUAAAGGGGGAGGACCGGGCUUGUAGGAGGAGGAUAUUCUGGAAUAAGUUCAUCCAAUUUUAUAAGAUAAUACACAUGAUGUAUGAUUAUUAUUCUAUGGAAAGUUUAAAAUUGGAUAAAUCCAUGUGUUCUUGAGUCUAACUCGAUAUACACCUAUAAAAAAUGUAGAUCAACACAUCGUCGCCUGGUAUAACGCGUCCGGUAUAACCUGAAUUUAUUGUCAGGAAUCAUCCCAACAAAUAUAAUGUUUGUACUUCCUCAUCCAAUAUUUGCACUACUUUCACUUGAUGAACUAGUUAUUUGUUU